rnacentral:rRNA from 1 species
UACAGAGACUGCAAGCGUUAUUCGGAUUCACUGGGCGUAAAGGGUGCGCAGGCGGCCGUGUGUGUGAGGCGUGAAAGCCCGGGGCUUAACCCCGGAAUUGCACCUCAAACUACACGGCUAGAGCAUUGGAGAGGGUAGCAGAAUUCACGGUGUAGCAGUGAAAUGCGUAGAUAUCGUGAGGAAUACCAGAGGCGAAGGCGGCUACCUGGACAAUUGCUGACGCUCAGGCACGAAAAGCGUGGGGAGCAAAAGG